AUUGAACGCUGGCGGAAUGCUUUACACAUGCAAGUCGAACGGCAGCACGGGGCAACCUGGUGGCGAGUGGCGAACGGGUGAGUAAUACAUCGGAACGUGCCCAAUCGUGGGGGAUAACGUAGCGAAAGUUACGCUAAUACCGCAUACGAUCUACGGAUGAAAGCGGGGGAUCGCAAGACCUCGCGCGAAUGGAGCGGCCGAUGUCAGAUUAGGUAGUUGGUGGGGUAAAGGCUCACCAAGCCGACGAUCUGUAGCUGGUCUGAGAGGACGACCAGCCACACUGGGACUGAGACACGGCCCAGACUCCUACGGGAGGCAGCAGUGGGGAAUUUUGGACAAUGGGCGCAAGCCUGAUCCAGCCAUUCCGCGUGCAGGAUGAAGG
rnacentral:rRNA from 1 species